AAAGAUGGCGGCGAUGGCGGUCGGGGGUGCUGGUGGGAGCCGCGUGUCCAGCGGGAGGGACCUGAAUUGCGUCCCCGAAAUAGCUGACACACUAGGGGCUGUGGCCAAGCAGGGGUGAGGGCCGGACCUCCACGAGCGGAAUGCGGGGUUUGAUUUCCUCUGCAUGCCUGUCUUCCAUCCGCGUUUCAAGAGGGAGUUCAUUCAGGAACCUGCUAAGAAUCGGCCCGGUCCCCAGACACGAUCAGACCUACUGCUGUCAGGAAGGGACUGGAAUACGCUAAUUGUGGGAAAGCUUUCUCCAUGGAUUCGUCCAGACUCAAAAGUGGAGAAGAUUCGCAGGAAUUCCGAGGCGUUGGAGGUGCAGUUCAUCAUCACAGGCACCAACCACCACUCAGAGAAGGAGUUCUGCUCCUACCUCCAGUACUUGGAAUACUUAAGCCAGAACCGUCCUCCACCUAAUGCCUAUGAACUCUUUGCCAAGGGCUAUGAAGACUAUCUGCAGUCCCCGCUUCAGCCACUGAUGGACAAUCUUGAAUCUCAGACAUAUGAAGUAUUUGAAAA
rnacentral:sRNA from 1 species